GCACUAAGUAGAAACUAUGAUUUGAGUAACUGCAGGAAGGUUUGCAUUGAACCUUCCAAUUAGCAAAAUAUAUUCCGCAACUCAAAGAUAGAUGUGAUAUUAUUUAAGCUUACUCUUAGUUACACACGCCUUUGAAUGGCCACCUUACAGGGUCACUAACGUGGGUAAUUAAAAUUCAGGGAAGACCAAAAUAUCCAGGAUAAGUCAUAUUCUAGUGAAUAAUCCAGCCAUAAUUGAAAGUGAGAGGAAAAAAAAUGAAGCCACAUUAGGUAGCCAGGAAUAAGUCUAGGAAAAGCAAAGAUACAAGUGUGUUUUCCCCAUGAACCGACAUUGAAGGUGACAAAAUGAAGGCAAGAGUCACUAAAUUAUCUCCUUAUAAUGAAGUACACGGUGACAUCUUUUUCUUUAGAAGAUCAACCUACAGGGGUUGGGGAUUUAGCUCAGCGGUAGAGCGCUGGGGUUCGGUCCCCAGCUCCGAAAAAAGGAAAAAAAUAGAUGAUCAACCUACGACUACCAGGAGUAAAUAUUGUGUAACUAGGAGUUCCUUUGUUUUAAAAGCAGACUGUUAAAAGGCUGGAACCAAAUGUGCAGGAAGGGCUAAGAGGGCUUGUGGAGCCCACCUGGAUUUCACCCCGAGUUACCUUGGAUCUGCGGACUCAGGAUGGUAGUUCCAGAGGAUGCCUUGAGCAGCCACAUAGAACUGCCUUAGCUGCGCGGCCUCUGCCUGGUGGCUGCCCCAGCCCGCCCAUCGGGUGCCCAGAACCACCAGGAGGAAGAAGCGCGGGCAGACUAGGAACAUGGCCCUUGUCCUGCCGCGCGCGCUGCCACGGCUGACAGUGCUCAGUGCUCUGUCCCUGCUGCGCGCUGUCCUGACUCCCUGGAGGACUAAGAAGCUGUUGGGCGCAUCAGGCGUGAUGGCACGUGCCUGUAAUCCCAGCGCACAAGGGAAGCAGGAGAAUGUGAGUUUGAGGGAGACCCUGGACCAAAAAGUAAUUAACUAGCAGAAGUGUGGAUACAUCACUACUUCAAAAAAAAGAGCCCACAG